CCGGAGAGGUUUAGCACGCUCCCCCAGCAGGGAUGCCAGCAGCUGGACUGCAGCUGUUACCGCGGGAGUGGGGGCUGGAGCCGUCGCCAGCAGUCCCUGCUGUUUGCCUAAACUAGACCCUCCAGCAGAUCCCCUCCAUUAGCUCCCACCCCGCUCCUCCUCAUGCGGCCUCCCCUACUGCUAUGGACGGGAAGGGAGCGGCUGAGCCUGCCCUGGCAGGAUGGGGGUGGGAGUCAUCACUCCUUCCGGCCCAAGGGGAGACGCAGCUGCGGAAAGAACCCCCCGCCGCCUCCACUGCGCCACUGUCUGGCCCCUACUCUUCAGCCCUUCCUCAUCUAGAGCUAGAUCUGACACCAAAGGCGUCUUGUGAGCAGUGUCAUGAUCGAGAAUGAAUACUCUGGAUUUGGUGGCUGGCUCCUUGUGAAGAAGAAUUCAAUCAGAUUCCAUUUGAUUAACCUGCAUUGAGAUCCUAGUACAUGUCCGACACUAUGCAGAAAUACUUCACUCCCUCUUCCAUGGCAGACCACGAUGAACUAGGGUUUGCUGUUUUCACGGCUUCUGUCACUGUUGUAGCUGAGACUGAGGCUGCAGCAGGAGCUCCUCUGGCCCCAAGGCAAGAGACAUGUUCUCUGCAUCCCCAGAGGACCCACAGCAACUUCUGGUUUGGGUUAAAGAGGACUUGGGUGACCCCACCCUGCCAGUCAUCCACCCUCUGGCAGCCAGGGCAGCAGCAGGGGAGGGGGCAGGAGGGCCACAGUGCUUCUCUCCCCUGCCAUUUCCUCUGCAGCUCCCUCUCUGGCCCUGUUUUUCAGACCUCUAGUAAUAAAAACAAGCCAAUAAAAUGAACAUGAAAAUAUA